AAUGACUCUCGGCAACGGAUAUCUCGGCUCUCGCAUCGAUGAAGAACGUAGCGAAAUGCGAUACUUGGUGUGAAUUGCAGAAUCCCGUGAACCAUCGAGUCUUUGAACGCAAGUUGCGCCCGAAGUCUUUAGGCUGAGGGCACGUCUGCCUGGGCGUCACGC
rnacentral:rRNA from 1 species